AGAGUUUGAUCCUGGCUCAGGACGAACGCUGGCGGCGCGCCUAACGCAUGCAAGUCGAACGGAGCUUAGAGAGCUUGCUUUUUAAGCUUAGUGGCGAACGGGUGAGUAACGCGUGAGUAACCUGCCCUAGAGUGGGGGACAACAGUUGGAAACGACUGCUAAUACCGCAUAAGCCCACGGUACCGCAUGGUACUGAGGGAAAAGGAUUUAUUCGCUCUAGGAUGGACUCGCGUCCAAUUAGCUAGUUGGUGAGGUAACGGCCCACCAAGGCGACGAUUGGUAGCCGGACUGAGAGGUUGAACGGCCACAUUGGGACUGAGACACGGUCCAAACUCCUACGGGAGGCAGCAGUGAGGAAUAUUGGUCAAUGGACGAGAGUCUGAACCAGCCAAGUAGCGUGAAGGAUGAAGGUCCUAUGGAUUGUAAACUUCUUUUAUACGGGAAUAAAGUGCAGUAUGCAUACUGUUUUGUAUGUACCGUAUGAAUAAGGAUCGGCUAACUCCGUGCCAGCAGCCGCGGUAAUACGGAGGAUCCGAGCGUUAUCCGGAUUUAUUGGGUUUAAAGGGAGCGUAGGCGGGUUGUUAAGUCAGUUGUGAAAGUUUGCGGCUCAACCGUAAAAUUGCAGUUGAUACUGGCGACCUUGAGUGCAACAGAGGUAGGCGGAAUUCGUGGUGUAGCGGUGAAAUGCUUAGAUAUCACGAAGAACUCCGAUUGCGAAGGCAGCUUACUGGAUUGUAACUGACGCUGAUGCUCGAAAGUGUGGGUAUCAAACAGGAUUAGAUACCCUGGUAGUCCACACAGUAAACGAUGAAUACUCGCUGUUGGCGAUAUACAGUCAGCGGCCAAGCGAAAGCAUUAAGUAUUCCACCUGGGGAGUACGCCGGCAACGGUGAAACUCAAAGGAAUUGACGGGGGCCCGCACAAGCGGAGGAACAUGUGGUUUAAUUCGAUGAUACGCGAGGAACCUUACCCGGGCUUAAAUUGCAACUGACUGAACCGGAAACGGUUCUUUCUUCGGACAGUUGUGAAGGUGCUGCAUGGUUGUCGUCAGCUCGUGCCGUGAGGUGUCGGCUUAAGUGCCAUAACGAGCGCAACCCUUAUCGAUAGUUACUAGCAGGUCAUGCUGAGGACUCUAUUGAGACUGCCGUUGUAAGAUGUGAGGAAGGUGGGGAUGACGUCAAAUCAGCACGGCCCUUACGUCCGGGGCUACACACGUGUUACAAUGGGGGGUACAGAAGGCAGCUACACGGCGACGUGGUGCUAAUCCCGAAAGCCUCUCUCAGUUCGGAUUGGAGUCUGCAACCCGACUCCAUGAAGCUGGAUUCGCUAGUAAUCGCGCAUCAGCCACGGCGCGGUGAACACGUUCCCGGGCCUUGCACUCACCGCCCGUCAAG
rnacentral:rRNA from 1 species